AUAACCUCGGGAAACUGAGGAUAAUACUUUAUAGAAAACAGCAUCUGGAACGCGCUGUUUUUCAAAGAUUCGUCGCCUAAGGAGGGACGCGGCUGAUCAGGCUGUUGGUGGUGUAACGGACCACCAAACCUAUGAUCAGUACGGGUCAUGAGAGUGAUAGCCCGGAGAAGGAGACUGAGACAAGGCUCCUAGCCCUACGGGGUGCAUGCAGUUAAGAAUCCUUUACACUGCGCGAAAGCGUGAUAAGGGGAUCCUAAGUGUCAUAGUUUUACUAUGACUGUGUCAGAGUGUAAAUUACUCUGAAAGAAAGGGGUGGGUAAUACGGGUGCCAGCAGCCGCGGUAAUCCCCGAGCCCCGAGUGGUAGCCGCGUUUAUUGGGUCUAAAGCAUCCGCAGCCGGAUUAGUAAGUUCUCGGUGAAAUCGUUUAGCCUAACUAAACGAAUUGCCUUGAAUACUGCUAGUCUAGGGAUUGGGUGAAGUCAAGGGUAUGCUUGGGGGAGGGGUAAAAUCCAUUAAUCCUAAGUAGACCACCAGUGGCGAAGGCGCUUGACUAGAACAACUCCGACGGUCAGGGAUGAAAGCUAGGGGAGCAAACGGGAUUAGAUACCCCGGUAGUCCUAGCUGUAAACGCUGCCCACUGGGUAUUACACAUUCCUCGUGUUUGUGUAGUGCCGUAGUGAAGACGUUAAGUGGGCCACCUGGGGAGU
rnacentral:rRNA from 1 species